GAGUUUGAUCCUGGCUCAGAAUGAACGUUGGCGGCGUGGAUUAGGCAUGCAAGUCGAGCGAGAAGUCUUAGUUUGAAGCUUCGGCCGAUUUCUAAGAUGGACAGCGGCGAAAGGGAGAGUAAUGAGUGGAUUACCUACCCCCAGGACCGGGAUAGCUGUGGGAAACCGCAGGUAAUACCGGAUAAUAUCUCCGGAUCAAAUGGUGAGAUUCCGCCAGGGGAUGGGUCCGCUUCCUAUUAGCUUGUUGGUGGGGUAACGGCCUACCAAGGCAACAAUGGGUACCGGGUGUGAGAGCAUGGCCCGGCUCACUGGGACUGAGACACUGCCCAGACACCUACGGGUGGCUGCAGUCGAGAAUCUUCCGCAAUGGGCGAAAGCCUGACGGAGCGACGCCGCGUGCGGGAUGAAGGCCUUCGGGUUGUAAACCGCUGUCAGUUGGGAGGAAAUCUAUGAGGGUUAUCCCUCAUAGUUGACCUAUCUUCAGAGGAAGGACGGGCUAAGUUCGUGCCAGCAGCCGCGGUAAGACGAACCGUCCAAACGUUAUUCGGAAUCACUGGGCUUAAAGGGUGCGUAGGCGGCUUGGCAAGUUGGGUGUGAAAUCCCUCGGCUCAACCGAGGAACUGCGCUCAAAACUGCCAAGCUAGAGGAAGAUAGAGGUGAGCGGAACUAAUGGUGGAGCGGUGAAAUGCGUUGAUAUCAUUAGGAACACCUGUGGCGAAAGCGGCUCACUGGGUCUUUUCUGACGCUGAGGCACGAAAGCUAGGGUAGCGAACGGGAUUAGAUACCCCGGUAGUCCUAGCUGUAAACGAUGAGCACUAGGUUGG
rnacentral:rRNA from 1 species